CUCCUAUUGUUCAUAGCGUGAUGUUUUAUAGCCUAUAGCCUUCCUCGAUAAAUGAACUAUUCAACACAAACAUAAUUAUUUAAAUCGGACCAGUAGUUCUGGAGAUUAGCGCGAUCAAACAAACAAACAAACACACUCUUCAGCUUUAUAAUAUUGGUAUAGAUUAGUCUCAAAAGUUCAUUUUCACAUCAUUAUCAUUUUAAAUUCUAUAGUUUAUGAAAAUCGUUAUCAUUAACAAUAAGUAACGUUUUACACACAAACUACCGCACCCACACCCCACAUUUAAUGCUUACUCAAAUUAUUCCUUAGUAACGAUUUUGUAACGAAAACAUUUGCUAAGGACUAGUUUUAAAGCAAACAUUAAAUGACUGGUAUGACGGUAAGGUAAACAAAUCAUAUAGAAAGAAUUAAUAUAACUAUUAGCAGUUAAAACAAAAAUAUUUCCUCAUUUAUUAUGGGUUCGUGGAAAUCUCUCCCCAAUCUCAUAAUCUUAUUAUUUCUCUCACCCGUUAGUCUAUAUAUAUAAAAAUCAAUUGCUAUUCCUUUGUCUCGCUAAAACUCGAGAACGGCUGGACCGAUUUGGCAAAUUUUGGUCUUGAAUUAUUUGUAGAAGUCCAGGGAAGGUUUAAAAGGUGAGAAAAUAUCAAAUAAUUGACGGAAAAACCCUAAAAACUGCCCUUUCCUUUAUCCCAUACAAACGUUUUCUAACUAAUACGUAGAGUCAAUUUGAGCUUUAUUGCUAUUGGAUAAAGUUCAUUGUUGGAUAAAUGCUAUUGGAUACUAAAAACAAAUGCUAUUGAAUAAGUGUGCGUUGGAGACUUGGAGCACAGAAUCCCUACUAAUAUUAUAAAUGCGAAAGUAACUCUGUCUGUCUGUAAUUACGCUUUCAAGCUUAACCAGUGAACCGAUUUUGAUGGAAUUUAGUACUGAGAUAGAAUAGACCUUGAUACUUUUUAUUGCAAAAAAAUUGCGGAGAAUGGUCAUAUGGAAAUUCGUCAUUUUAAAAGCUGUAACAGUAAAACUUUGUAUUUAGAUACUUAAUGAGGAACGAAAGAACAUGGUCUACUUUUUAUUGCAAAAAAAUAGGGGAGAGUGGGUAAAAAUAGGGGAUGAAUGGUCAUAUGGAAAUUCGUCAUUUUUAAAGCUGUAACAGUGAAAUUUUGUAUUUAGACACUUAAUGAGGAGCGAAAGAACAUAGGCUACUUUUUAAUAAAAAGGGUAGAAGGCGUAGUAUGUUUGAUAGAGGAGAUUAAUGUUUGCUUGAAAAUUCGUCAUUUUCGUUAAUACGUUGCCUGUGGCUUUACUCGCGUUCGAUUCUUAUUUAAAUACACAUAUACUUAUUUAAAUCGCCAAUAUCCCUACUACCAUACUAAUGUUAUGAAUGCGAAAGCACGAAUGUUUUUUUUUUGGAAUAUAACAACGAAACAAUGUAUUUUUUUAUUGAUAGGCAAUAUAUAGGAAAUUAAAGGAUAAUAAUAUAGAUAACCUUGGCUACUUUUCAUCAUGAUUAUAAAAUGAUGAAUCGGCGGUCGUGGUUUCUUUGGAAUACAUAUCUUUAAAAAUGCUUAAAAUUAUCUUAAAAUUAUUAUUAUCUUUAAAUCGUAGGCCGCAUCAUCACUUACCAUCAGGUGAGAUAGCGGUCAAACGUCGACCCAUUAAAUGUAAAAAAAAAAAAAAUGCUAACAGUAACAUAUUCUCAAGUAAUUCACAUUUUAGAUGACAUACGGCAGCAUUUUGACCAUUAACACCUCUACGCGGACGAAGUCGCGGGCAAAAGCUAGAUUCGAUAAAUUUUCAUUUGUACAUGUCAAAUAUUUGUUGUUUCUAAAUUCAAAUUCUGUAAAUAAUUAUUGACAUUUAUGCAUAAACUAUGAAAAGGGUGAAUAAACAAUUGUCUGUAUUUUUUUUAAUCUAUUGAAAAUGUUGAAAUGUGCAUUAAGCAUGAAUAGAAAUUCCUCAAAUAUUAAUUAAGUGUGCGUUCAGAAAGAAUGACAAAUUAUCAACAGUUACGCGUGUGUUCAGAAAUUUAUUUUGUGUAAAUUAAAGUUUCUAUUCACGUUUUCGAACAAACGAUGCUCUUUCAAUAUAGUCUAUUGGUGUGAAUGACAUUGACAUUCGUAUUGCGCGUUUUUUAAAAUAUGCAAAAUUAAAUGUAUAUUUUUCAAUAUUUCUGAGAGAUUAUCUUAAUAUUUCUUCGAGUUUUAAAAACUAAGAAGAUUUUUAUUUGCUAAUAAGUGUUUGUUAAUCAAGGUAAGUUCACAUCUUCAUUAUUGAUUUUUAGUAACUUUUGGUGACUACACAAUACUACAAUUUGGUAUACACGGUUAUGCAGAAAAUGUAUGAGAGCUUUUUAUUUUCAGUUGGAAUUUCGGUUUUAACAAUGCUACCAACCAGAUGUACAAGCUUAGGCCGCAGAACUCGAAAUACGGCAAGGCAAAGAAAUAUAAGAGCAAAUCAAACUGAUGAGCAUCGCGAAGCGCGAAAUGAACUUGAACUGAAUCGAUAUCAAGAUAGAAAUGUUGUGUUUAAUCCCCACAAAGCUGCAUUCAGUUAUAAUGUGGCAAUUGAUUACAGUUCAGAGCAAAUUGUUGCUAUUGGACUAAUGAACAUUGUGUGUCCACAUUGGGAUUGAAAUUAAAAAAUGAAGCCUCUGGAUUGUGUUGCGCCAGCGGCCAAGUCAAAUUGACGCCAUUGGUACCGCCACCAGAGCCACCACAUUCAUUGGUUCAUUUUUUGACUCAUAUCCAGCAGUACAAUAAUUGCUUUCAAAUGACAUCAUUUGGGGCAACAAAAGUUAUACGAGACAAUUUUUUGCCUACUUUUAGCAAAUUCAGGGAUUCAAAUAUAUCAUCAAACAGGUUCCUUAUUGCCAGUGCCUGUUGAAGACUAUACAUUUUUGCAAAUAUAUUUUAUGGACAAUUCAGCAAGAGAAGUCGAUCAGCGUUGCGCACACAACAACUCAGUAAAGAGAUCCAUUGUGAUGAACAACUUCAAAUAUUUUUCCUUCAACACAAUGAAUUAGUUGCAUUAGACCGAUGUAUUAGACAUUCACAAAUGCAUUAGACCGCAUGCCAUCAGAUAAUCACAAAAUUGUCAUCAGAGCCGAUAAGGCGCCUGCAGGACAGUGAAAUGAUUGAAUCCUAUGAAAUAAACACUGUUAUGAAAAUAUGUUUUGUUUUUUUUUUUUAAAUUAGUAAAGUCCUUUUCAGGUAUAGUGAGACCAGGAAAUUAUGGAUUCAUUUUUAUAUGGAGGAUAUUUAUAGAUUCCAAUUCAAAUUGAAUAGGGACUCAUACAUAACUCAGCUAUACAAAAUAAAGGAGAGCAUCAUUGCUACGCGAAAGCGGUACGAAGUUCGCUGGGUCAGCUAGUCUAUAAUAUAAUUAAUAUAAUGUACGAUGAAAAACAAUAUUUGUGGAUUAUCACUGUAGUUUUUUUAGUACUAACGGCAAAUGUUUUUUUUUUACCUGUUCCUUUCGUUUUAUUAGGUAGGUGACUCAGGGACAUGAAUGACUAUCUUGGAUCCCGCAACGAAAUAAAUCAGAAGAUAUUAUUAGAGGAGAAGAAAAAGUGAAAGUGUCUUAUGAGUCCUUACAUGAAAAAACGAGGUAAUAAUUCUUCUUAACCUUAAGUAUCACUGCAAUUUAAUUCUCGUAUCGCAGCUUUAACCGCAAAACCACUAAUAACAAAGUUGCGGUUUUCAAAAUAACAAUGGAAUAAAAUCGCCUCAGUCCUUUGAUUCAUAAUUAUGAGGACACAUAAAAAGGAUUUUCGGGUCUUUAAAAAAACGGUAGAUGCUUUAAAUUCUAUAGAUUUUAUUUCAUUUGAGAAGUAGUACAAAACACGUACCUAAGCAGAAUUUCGGCAUAGUUUUUUAUUUAAUAAAUCGCCAUGGCCGCGCGUUCGAAAGGGACACAUACAAAUCUUUGAGUGACCAUGACCAAGCUAUAAUAUACAAAACUAUAUAUUUCUGUAACGUCACUACAAAGAAAAUGAGGUAAACGAUGAAAUGUAUUAAUACUGAUGUUAUUAACUUUGUUUCUCUUCAAAGGAAGGACAUUGAUAUUUAAUUAAAAAGUAAACUUUUGCUGUUUGACCUAUUUAUGUACUGGUCGCGGCCUCGGCUCCCCUGCGUACAAUCAGGGAGGAACACUUUUCUAGUGAGGAAACACACAUGACUGUCUCGUUUGAUUUAUUGAACAUUACAAUGUAGCACUGAUACAUAAUUUGUCUAUGUUGCUACUACAUAUGUCUACAUCUACUAUCUACAUAUCUAUACAAUCCUUUUUUAAGGAGAAAGAAUUAUCCAAUGACUUCUCCCGCCUUGGGCAAGGCGAGAGGGAAUGUCAGAUUCUUACUGACUUAAAAAUUAUAUUAUAAAUUCCUACUCCUGCUUUUAUAGCCGGAGCCCCGGUAAAUCCGCUAAGUAGUUCGCAGCUCCGGGCUAGACGUCAGCCCUACUAGGCCACAUCUGUGGUGGUCUGAUGGCUCUUUGAGAUCCAUACAAUCCCUAAAAUAUCAUCACUGGUUAUCCACAGUCCAGUGAUCAUCUUUUCAGGAAAAUUAUUGGGAGAUAGAAUUGUAUAAUGGCGGUUACUCUUCCAACCAAUCUCAAUGUCAAUGCAAUUUCAAUCCAAUAAUUAUUAAAUGUCCUAACUAUACAACCCCAAUCGUAGUAGUUAAAAUAGCAUUCAGAGUACAGAAUAUAAAGCCAAACUCAAUACCAUUUGGGUUAUUCAAUAUCCAUGCAAUACGAAUGCAAUAGGCGCUAGUAGGUUGCAGCUCAAGAGUACAAAAUUUCACGAUAUCAAUGUCAAUCGAUUGGAUUUGGAUUCAAGAGUAAGCCUCCUGAAAUUUCGUAAAUAUUAUUUUGAAAGCAGACAGUAAGAGAACACAAAGUACAACUAAAUUGGUACAUAUACUUUCACUACUACAUAGGAUAUUAUAUGGUCUGGGUAAAUAGUUAUUGUAUUGAUUUAAAUCAAUUGAGAGAUUAUUGUUAUUGCUUGUGUGAACACAGAAAAUACUAAUCGUGUUCUUAAGAGCAUAUAGCUUAAUGAAAGGUUUACUGCCCUACAUAAAAAAUGCAUACCUUUUUUUCAAAGUCAAAGUCAAAUCUUUUAUAGCAUACAUAUUUAAGUUAAUAAGUUAAGGUUACGGUUUCAAAGUCAACAAAAAACUUAAGUAGUGUCAACGGUUUAUUAAAUACAUAAAACAUAGGUAACAGGAUAACAAUUAGCAAUUAACUACAAUAAUCUAUUGGAAUGUAUAAUACUGCAGCGGUGGUUAGCUGUGAGCUGUGAGGAGUAAGCAGCCUGACAUCUGGUGGAUGUCGCCUAGUUGUGGUUCUGCUGGUAGAUCUCGUGGCCAGUGCCGAUGACACCGAUCACACCGAGUCCGUGUUU